GGCUGUGUGGCGGAGUGGUCUAACGCGUUAGACUUGAAUAUCAAUCGAUCAUUCGAGUUAUCUAAUCUCUUCGGAGGCACAAGUUCGAACCUUGUCACAGUCG